rnacentral:rRNA from 1 species
GGACUACUAGGGUUUCUAAUCCUGUUUGCUCCCCACGCUUUCGCGUCUUAGCGUCAGAAACCGUCCAGAUAGCCGCCUUCGCCACUGGUGUUCUUCCCAAUCUCUACGUAUUUCACCACUACACUGGGAAUUCCACUAUCCUCUCCGGUCCUCUAGCUAUCCAGUAUUGAGCGCAUUUCUUGGGUUAAGCCCAAGGCUUUCACGCCCAACUUGAACAGCCGCCUACACGCGCUUUACGCCCAGUAAUUCCGAGCAACGCUAGCCCCCUUCGUCUUACCGCGGCGGCUGGCAC